UGUGCAAUGAUGAGUUCUGAAAAUUGGUGUGCAGUGGCGAUUUUAAUUGCCGUGAGCUUUUUCCACCAAAUUAUACGACUUCUUCUUCCUCUGAGCUCA